CACAAUCAAUUUUAGAACAUUUUCAUCAUGAUAAAAAGAAACCCUGUUCCUGAGGAGGAGCAAGAUGGCGGAGGAGUAGGAGACCUGGAUUUCAUCUGGUCCCAGGAAUUCGGCUGGAUAGGGAUCAAGCCAUUCUGAACACCUACGAACUCAACAGGAGAGAGAAGAAAAGAAUAGCACCAACUCUCUGGACAGAAAAGCGACCACUUUCUGGCAGGCCUCUCCAUGUGAUCCUUAUCUCCAGCAGGAUAGCUUGGACUUCCUUAUAGCACGGCUGCUGGUUUCCCCGAAUGCAGAGGGAGAAGCCAUCAGGACAAGGCCUUAGCCAGGAACUGGCCCCGUAUUGUCUUGUUGGUUCCCUGCUCCCUGAACCAUCACAUCAACACUUUUCUGCCUGGCACAGAGUUUUCUGUCUACCCAAACUUUGUUCCCUAACUCAGCUCUUCCACAUGCAUCCCUACCCCCCAUAAGUGGAAGAUGAAGGCAGAAGUUGUGGUUUCCAGGCACAAAUCCCAUGUAUGUCAAAUAGAUAACUGAAGCUGGCCCAACUAUCUCAGCUGUCAUCUCCAUCCUCUCUCUGACUACCUGGGGAUAAGGAGUGACAAGAGAAUGCCCACGUUUAGAAUGAAGGUGCUUGACAAAGGCUUACCAGGAGCGAUCUUGCAGCUUUUAGCAGGAAUAUCAAGAGCAAAUUGCACAG